rnacentral:rRNA from 1 species
GGUGAACGCUGGCGGUGGGCCUAAUACAUGCAAGUCGAGCGAACAGACGAUGAGCUUGCUCCUCUGCCGGUAGCGGCGGACGGGCGAGUAAGACAUAGAUAACCAACUAAUAUUACUUGGAGAACUUCGGGGAACCGCAGCCGAUACUGGCUCAUACAUUCAACCGCAGGGAUCAAUAGAUAUACACGCCUUUGCCGUUUCAUAUAGAUGGAGCCGCGUCGCAUUAGCUAGUUGGUAAGGUAACGGCUUACCAAGGCAACGAUGCGCAGCCGACCUGAGAGGGUGAUCGGCCACACUGGAACUGAGACACGGUCCAGACUCCUACGGGAGGCAGCAGUGGGGAAUAUUGCGCAAUGGGCGAAAGCCUGACGGAGCCACGCCGCGUGAGUGAUGAAGGUCUUCGGAUCGUAAAACUCUUUUAUUAGGGAAGAACAACUGUGUAAGUAAAUAUGCACGUCUUGACGGUACCUAAUCAGAAAGCCACGGCUAACUACGUG